rnacentral:rRNA from 1 species
AACGAACGCUGGCGGCAGGCCUAAACACAUGCAAGUCGAGCGCGCCCUUCGGGGUGAGCGGCGGACGGGUUAGUAACGCGUGGGAAUAUGCCCAAAGGUACGGAAUAGCCUCUGGAAAACGGAGAGUAAUACCGUAUGUGCCCUUCGGGGGAAAGAUUUAUCGCCUUUGGAUUAGCCCGCGUUAGAUUAGGUAGUUGGUGGGGUAAUGGCCUACCAAGCCUACGAUCUAUAGCUGGUUUUAGAGGAUGAUCAGCAACACUGGGACUGAGACACGGCCCAGACUCCUACGGGAGGCAGCAGUGGGGAAGUCUUGGACAAUAGGGGGCGAACCCUCGAUCCAGCCAUGCCGCGUGAGUGAUGAAGG